rnacentral:rRNA from 1 species
GAUGAACGCUAGCGGCAGGCUUAAUACAUGCAAGUCGUGGGGCAGCAGGACUGUAGCAAUACUGUUGCUGGCGACCGGCAAACGGGUGCGGAAAACGUAUGCAACUUACCCUUAACUGGGGGGGAUCCCGGGUAAACCCGGGGUCAUACCCCGUAUUACAAUGGCGUGGCGUCACUUUAUUAUUAAAGCUCCGUCGGCUGGGGAGGGGCGUGCGGCGGAUUAUGUUGUUGGUUGCGGUAACGGCCCACCAAGCCGACGAUCAGUAAGGGUUGUGAGAGCAAGGCCCCUCACAUGGGAACUGAGACACGGGCCAGACUCCUACGGGAGGCAGCAGUAAGGAAUAUUGGGCAAUGGAGGGGACUCUGAACCAGCCAUGCCGCGUGGAGGAUGACGGCCCUCUGGGUUGUAAACUUCUUUUAUGGGGGGAUAAACCUGUGUAUUCGUACGCAGUUGACGGUACCCUAUGAAUAAGCACCGGCUAACUCCGUG